UGAAAAUUCAAGGAAACAAGUGAAAAAAAGGUGGUGAGUAUUCUGGCAAAAGUAAAGAGAUAGUACCCGAGGAUCAAGAAUCAGAGUACUCGAAAUUCGAUUCCCAUUAUAGUGGUGAGUCUUCCGAUAAAGGCAAGAAAAUUGCAUCCGAGAACCAAUAGUCAGAGUACUUCAAAAAUCCGCACUCUAGAUAUUGCUCAGUAUAGGCAAUAGAUAGCUGAUAUCGUCGAAGGCUACAAUUGGCUUUACUUCCUAAAAAAUUGUAGGUUUGCAACCUUUGUUCAUAUUUGUCAUUUAGGGGCCCACAUGUCACUGUAAAUUAAAUUUCAUACUCUAGUUAUCUAUACUACUGUAUAUAGAAAUUUAUUUUGCUUUUACGCUGUAAAAAUUAUU